AUUGAACGCUGGCGGCAGGCUUAACACAUGCAAGUCGAACGCACCGCAAGGUGAGUGGCAGACGGGUGAGUAACGCGUGGGAACCUACCCCUUGGUACGGGAUAGCUCCGGGAAACUGGAGAUAAUACUGUAUGUGACCUGAGGGUCAAAGAUUCAUCGCCAAGGGAUGGGCCCGCGUCGGAUUAGCUAGUUGGUGGGGUAACGGCCUACCAAGGCGACGAUCCGUAGCUGGUCUAAGAGGAUGACCAGCCACAUUGGGACUGAGACACGGCCCAAACUCCUACGGGAGGCAGCAGUGGGUGAUAUUGGACAAUGGGCGCAAGCCUGAUCCAGCCAUGCCGCGAGAGUGAUGAAGGCCCUAGGGUUGUAAAGCUCUUUCACCGGGGACGAUAAUGACGGUACCCGGAGAAGAAGCCCCGGCUAACUUCGUGCCAGCCGCCGCCGUAA
rnacentral:rRNA from 1 species